AGCGAACGCUGGCGGCAGGCUUAACACAUGCAAGUCGAGCGCCCGGAGCAAUCCGGGAGCGGCAGACGGGAGAGUAACACGUGGGAACGUACCCUUUGGUUCGGAAUAAUCCAGGGAAACUUGGACUAAUACCGGAUAAGCCCUUACGGGGAAAGAUUUAUCGCCAAAGGAUCGGCCCGCGUCUGAUUAGCUAGUUGGUGAGGUAACGGCUCACCAAGGCGACGAUCAGUAGCUGGUCUGAGAGGAUGAUCAGCCUCACUGGGACUGAGACACGGCCCAGACUCCUACGGGAGGCAGCAGUGGGGAAUAUUGGACAAUGGGCGCAAGCCUGAUCCAGCCAUGCCGCGCGGGUGAUGAAGGCC
rnacentral:rRNA from 1 species